rnacentral:lncRNA from 1 species
GUCUGUUUGUCCUCAUCAUUUUUAGCCAUGGCGUUGUCAGUUUAUUUUCGAUUUAUGAGUUUGACUGUCCCUCUAGUAUCUUUCGUCCCUCUUUUAGUUUGUAACCCGGAUUUGCUUUCUCUCAAUCGAUUUAUGACUUUCGAACAGCGUUAUACUACUGUUGCCUUUAUUUUAGAUGUGUUAUCAUACCAUUUCUCUAUAUUUC